AAAGCCCCUUCCCCGUGCUGUCUCCUGCCUAGGUGUUGCGGGCGCUGGAAGCAGAUGGGGACUCUCCCUUGGACGGCUUUGGGGGCUGUGCGUCCCGCAGCACCCCUGUCUUUCCUGCAGGACCGUGAUCGGCGGCGCCUGAUGCGCCCCCGCUGUGCCCAGGGGGCGAGGCCCGGAUGAGCCCACCGUGUGCAGAGGCAUCAUGGGAGUUGUAUCAGGAGCAUUCUAGUGUCCUCGAGGGAUGCUGCUUUGGAUCUGGAGAUUGUUGGAGGAAUCCUUAAGGGGACAGAGACACUGGUCCUCUCAGGGUGGCCUGGGUCCUAGCUGCCCUAGAGGGACCUCCUCCUGAUUAUUUCGGAGUUGAUCGUGGACCCUGGCUGAGUGGAGAAUGAUGUUGCCACGUGAACCGUUGCCAGACCUUCUCACACCCUGUGGCCUCAGCACCGCAUGGAGGGACUUUUCUCUCUGCAUGAGCAGGCCAGAGGGAAAGUCCUGGACCCCGGAGAGGGAGGUCCUGAGCUAGAGACUUCGGCUGGCUCUGCUGCUCCCCCAGCAGGCGUCACACCGCACGCCGUGGACCAGGAAGUCUGGUUUCCUUCCAGCAGCACGCUCCACGGCCCCCUGCCUACUCCUCCUGUAACUUUUUACAACCAAGAGUUUUCCGCACUCUGCAUCCUUGUCCCCUCACCCACCCAAUAAAUGUUGAAACUGCC